AUUGAACGCUGGCGGAAUGCUUUACACAUGCAAGUCGAACGGUAGAGGGGGCAACCCCUUGAGAGUGGCGAACGGGUGAGUAAUAUAUCGGAACGUGCCCAGUCGUGGGGAUAACGUAGCGAAAGUUACGCUAAUACCGCAUACGAUCUAAGGAUGAAAGCGGGGGAUCGCAAGACCUCGCGCGAUUGGAGCGGCCGAUAUCAGAUUAGGUAGUUGGUGGGGGUAAAGGCUCACCAAGCCAACGAUCUGUAGCUGGUCUGAGAGGACGACCAGCCACACUGGAACUGAGACACGGUCCAGACUCCUACGGGAGGCAGCAGUGGGGGAAUUUUGGACAAUGGACGCAAGUCUGAUCCAGCCAUUCCGCGUGCAGGAUGAAGGCCCUCGGGUUGUAAACUGCUUUUGUACGGAACGAAAAGGUUUCUCUUAAUACGAGGAGCUCAUGACGGUACCGUAAGAAUAAGCACCGGCUAACUACGUGCCAGCAGCCGCGGUAAAGUGACU
rnacentral:rRNA from 1 species